GGUAGCUAAGUGCGGAAGAGAUAACCGCUGAAAGCAUCUAAGCGGGAAACUUGCCUUGAGAUGAGUCUUCCCUGACUCUUUAAGGGUCCUAAAGGAACGUUUAAGACUAAGACGUUGAUAGGUUGGGUGUGUAAGCGUAGCGAUACGUUGAGCUAACCAAUACUAAUGAACCGUGAGGCUUAACCUG
rnacentral:rRNA from 1 species